UCUGAGGAAGGAAGGAUUUAUUCGGUACAGGAUGGGCCCGCAUCUGAUUAGCUAGUUGGUGAGAUAACAGCCCACCAAGGCGACGAUCAGUAGCCGACCUGAGAGGGUGAUCGGCCACAUUGGGACUGAGACACGGCCCAGACUCCUACGGGAGGCAGCAGUGGGGAAUAUUGCACAAUGGGGGAAACCCUGAUGCAGCGACGCCGCGUGGAGGAAGAAGGUCUUCGGAUUGUAAACUCCUGUUGUUGGGGAAAAGAAGGAUGGUACCCAACAAGGAAGUGACGGCUAACUACGUGCCAGCAGCCGCGGUAAAACGUAGGUCACGAGCGUUGUCCGGAAUUACUGGGUGUAAAGGGAGCGCAGGCGGGUAUGCAAGUUGGGAGUGAAAUACAUGGGCUCAACCCAUGAACUGCUCUCAAAACUGUGUAUCUUGAGUAGUGCAGAGGUAGGCGGAAUUCCCGGUGUAGCGGUGGAAUGCGUAGAUAUCGGGAGGAACACCAGUGGCGAAGGCGGCCUACUGGGCACCAACUGACGCUGAGGCUCGAAAGUGUGGGUAGCAAACAGGAUUAGAUACCCUGGUAGUCCACACCGUAAACGAUGAUUACUAGGUGUUGGAGGAUAGACCCCUUCAGUGCCGCAGU
rnacentral:rRNA from 1 species